CUACGGGCGGCAGCAGUAGGGAAUAUUGCGCAAUGGACGCAAGUCCGACGCAGCAACGCCGCGUGGGUGAUGAAACAUUUCGGUGCGUAAAACCCUGUCAGUGGGGAAGAACCGCAUGAGGAGUAACUACCUUGUGCCUGACGGUACCCACAGAGGAAGUCCCGGCUAACUCCGUGCCAGCAGCCGCGGUAAUACGGAGGGGACAAGCGUUGUUCGGUUUUACUGGGCGUAAAGGGCGCGUAGGCGGACCUUCAAGUCGGGUGUGAAAUCUGGCGGCUUAACUGCCAGCCUGCAUUCGAUACUGUAGGUCUUGAGUACAGGAGAGGAAAGCGGAAUUCCAGGUGUAGCGGUGAAAUGCGUAGAUAUCUGGAAGAACACCAGUAGCGAAGGCGGCUUUCUGGACUGAUACUGACGCUAAAGCGCGAAGGCUUGGGUAGCAAACAGGAUUAGAUACCCCCGUAGUC
rnacentral:rRNA from 1 species